AUGGAAGACGGCGGUGUGCAGAUCAUCUCCCGGCGCAUGGUCAAGCCGGAGUAUCAAAAGAGCUCACUGCCGCCGCCGGAGCCAGAGACCGUCCACCUGACGCCAUGGGACCUGCGGCGGAUCACCGUGGGCUACAGCCAGAACGGCGUCCUCCUGCCAAAGCCUCCGACCGGCAUGCACGCCGUCGAACACCUCGCGUCGUCCUUCGCGCGCGCCUUGGGCCGCUUCCACCCCCUUGCCGGCCGCUUCGCUCACGCUCCCCGUCGGAUGCCGGACGCGGGUGAAGGGUAUCCCGCAGGCAUACAUGGGCAACGCCUUGACAAGUGUGUGCUUCAAUAUAAACGGCAACGACUUUGGGUGGGGCAGGCCGGUGGGCGUCCGGGGGACAAGGAGGACGGGUUGAUCACGGUUUUCGAGGAUGGCGGAGGGGCCGGGGGCAUGGAACUGGAGGUGUGCCUCGCUCCUGACGUUCUCGCCAGGCUCGUCGCCGACCAAGAGCUGAUGAGCACGUCCGUCUAG
rnacentral:rRNA from 1 species